rnacentral:rRNA from 1 species
GGGGUGAGUAACACGUGGAUAACCUACCUAUAAGACUGGGAUAACUUCGGGAAACCGGAGCUAAUACCGGAUAAUAUUUUGAACCGCAUGGUUCAAAAGUGAAAGACGGUCUUGCUGUCACUUAUAGAUGGAUCCGCGCUGCAUUAGCUAGUUGGUAAGGUAACGGCUUACCAAGGCAACGAUGCAUAGCCGACCUGAGAGGGUGAUCGGCCACACUGGAACUGAGACACGGUCCAG